CUUCGGGGACAUUGGUGACAGGUGGUGCAUGGUUGUCGUCAGCUCGUGUCGUGAGAUGUUGGGUUAAGUCCCGCAACGAGCGCAACCCUUGUCUUUAGUUGCCAUCAUUAAGUUGGGCACUCUAGAGAGACUGCCAGGGAUAACCUGGAGGAAGGUGGGGAUGACGUCAAAUCAUCAUGCCCCUUAUGCUUAGGGCUACACACGUGCUACAAUGGGUAGUACAGAGGGUUGCCAAGCCGUAAGGUGGAGCUAAUCCCUUAAAGCUACUCUCAGUUCGGAUUGUAGGCUGAAACUCGCCUACAUGAAGCUGGAGUUACUAGUAAUCGCAGAUCAGAAGGCUGCGGUGAAGGCGUUCCCGGGUCUUGUACACACCGCCCUUCACACCACGGGAGUUUGAGACGCCCGAAGCCGAUUAUCUAACCUGUUGGAAGAAGUCGUCGAAGGUGGAAUCAAUAACUGGGGUGAAGUCGUAACAAGGUAGCCGUAUCGGAAGGUGCGGCUGGAUCACCUCCUUUCUAAGGA
rnacentral:rRNA from 1 species